UUUGAAAUCUGGCGUCUUUGGCGUCCGAGUUGUAAUUUGAAGAAGGUAUCUUUGGGCCCGGCUCUUGUCUAUGUUCCUUGGAACAGGACGUCACAGAGGGUGAGAAUCCCGUGCGAUGAGAUGACCCGGGUCUGUGUAAAGUUCCUUCGACGAGUCGAGUUGUUUGGGAAUGCAGCUCUAAGUGGGUGGUAAAUUCCAUCUAAAGCUAAAUAUUGGCGAGAGACCGAUAGCGAACAAGUACAGUGAUGGAAAGAUGAAAAGAACUUUGAAAAGAGAGUGAAAAAGUACGUGAAAUUGUUGAAAGGGAAGGGCUUGAGAUCAGACUUGGUAUUUUGCAUGCUGCUCUCUCGGGGGCGGCCGCUGCGGUUUACCGGGCCAGCAUCGGUUUGGAGCGGCAGGAUAAUGGCGGAGGAAUGUGGCACGGCUUCUGCUGUGUGUUAUAGCCUCUGACGAUACUGCCAGCCUAGACCGAGGACUGCGGUUUUUUUACCUAGGAUGUUGGCAUAAUGAUCUUAAGUCGCCCGUCUUGAAACACGGACCAAGGAGUCUAACGUCUAUGCGAGUGUUUGGGUGUAAAACCCGUACGCGUAAUGAAAGUGAACGAAGGUGGGGGCCCAUUAGGGUGCACCAUCGACCGAUCCUGAUGUGUUCGGAUGGAUUUGAGUAAGAGCAUAGCUGUUGGGACCCGAAAGAUGGUGAACUAUGCCUGAAUAGGGUGAAGCCAGAGGAAACUCUGGUGGAGGCUCGUAGCGGUUCUGACGU
rnacentral:rRNA from 1 species